rnacentral:rRNA from 1 species
CCUACGGGUGGCAGCAGUGGGGAAUAUUGGGCAAUGGGCGCAAGCCUGACCCAGCAACGCCGCGUGAAGGAAGAAGGCUCUCGGGUUGUAAAAUUUCUUUUAGAGGGAAGAGCAGAAGACGGUACCUCUUGAAUAAGCCACGGCUAACUACGUGCCAGCAGCCGCGGUAAUACGUAGGUGGCAAGCGUUGUCCGGAUUUACUGGGUGUAAAGGGCGUGUAGCCGGGCUGACAAGUCAGAUGUGAAAUCCCGUGGCUCAACCACGGAACUGCAUUUGAAACUGUCGGUCUUGAGUAUCGGAGAGGCAGGCGGAAUGCCUGGUGUAGCGGUGAAAUGCGUAGAUAUUAGGAAGAACACCGGUGGCGAAGGCAGCCUGCUGGACGACAACUGACGGUGAGGCGCGAAAGCGUGGGGAGCAAACAGGAUUAGAUACCCGAGUAGUC